rnacentral:rRNA from 1 species
GAUUAGUGGCGACGGGUGAGUAACACGUGGGCAAUCUGCCCUGCACUCUGGGACAAGCCCUGGAAACGGGGUCUAAUACCGGAUGAUAUCCCCUCUCGCAUGGGAGGGGGUUGAAAGCUCCGGCGGUGCAGGAUGAGCCCGCGGCCUAUCAGCUAGUUGGUGAGGUAGAAGCUCACCAAGGCGACGACGGGUAGCCGGCCUGAGAGGGCGACCGGCCACACUGGGACUGAGACACGGCCCAGACUCCUACGGGAGGCAGCAGUGGGGAAUAUUGCACAAUGGGCGAAAGCCUGAUGCAGCGACGCCGCGUGAGGGAUGACGGCCUUCGGGUUGUAAACCUCUUUCAGCAGGGAAGAAGCGAAAGUGACGGUACCUGCAGAAGAAGCGCCGGCUAACUACGUGCCAGCAGCCGCGGUAAUACGUAGGGCGCAAGCGUUGUCCGGAAUUAUUGGGCGUAAAGAGCUCGUAGGCGGCUUGUCACGUCGGUUGUGAAAGCCCGGGGCUUAACCCCGGGUCUGCAGUCGAUACGGGCAGGCUAGAGUGUGGUAGGGGAGAUCGGAAUUCCUGGUGUAGCGGUGAAAUGCGCAGAUAUCAGGAGGAACACCGGUGGCGAAGGCGGAUCUCUGGGCCAUUACUGACGCUGAGGAGCGAAAGCGUGGGGAGCGAACAGGAUUAGAUACCCUGGUAGUCCACGCCGUAAACGGUGGGAACUAGGUGUUGGCGACAUUCCACGUCGUCUGUGCCGCAGCUAACGCAUUAAGUUCCCCGCCUGGGGAGUACGGCCGCAAGGCUAAACUCAAGGAAUUGACGGGGCCCGCACAAGCAGCGGAGCAUGUG